rnacentral:rRNA from 1 species
GAUGAACGCUGGCGGCGUGCCUAAUACAUGCAAGUAGAACGCUGAAGGCAUGAGCUUGCUCUUUCCUGAUGAGUUGCGAACGGGUGAGUAACGCGUAGGUCAUCUGCCUGGUAGCGGGGGAUAACUAUUGGAAACGGUAUCUAAUACCGCAUAACAGUAGGUUUUGCAUGAUGUCUACUUAAAAUUCGCAGUUGCACCACUGCCACAUGGCCUUUCGUUUUAUUAGCUAGGUGGUGAGGUAACGGCUCUUCAAGGCGACGUUACAUAGUCGCCAUGAGAGGGUGGUCGGCCGGACUGGGAGGGAGACAGGGCCCAGAGGGCUACGGGAGGCAGCAGGACGGAAUCGUGGGCAAUGGAUGGAAGUCAGAGCGAGAAACGCCGAGUGAGGGAAGAAGGUUGUCGGGUCGGAGAGCUCGGUUGUAAGAGAAGAACGCGGGUGAGACUGGAAAGAUGACAGUGUGACGGUAACUGACAAGAAAGCGACGGCUAACUACGUG